UAGAGAUAAAGUGGAUCACAUAUACUCUUUGUAUGGGGAUUGAUAAUGCAUGUGCUCAAUGAAAAACCCACCAGAUCAUGAAUGCAACAUGAAAUUCAACUGAAGCUCAUCAUGAAAUUUAUUAAAAGCAUGGUUUGGGGUGCACUUGUAUGUGCUCAAGAAAGGAAAACAAAAAUGGUGCUACUGCUGUGCCUUUUCCUCUGCUCCCCGAGGGUGUGCUACAGCUC
rnacentral:lncRNA from 1 species